rnacentral:lncRNA from 1 species
GUUAAUAGGAGGAGCCUCAUCAAUAGGAGGAGCCUCCUGUGGAGGAGCUCCCCGCAGGACGAAGCUGCCAUGACAAAUAAAUAUGUUAGAAAAGAAUCAAAAAGCAGUACUAGGUACUCAACUGCCAUGACAAAUUACUGAUAUUAAUAUGAUAAUAGGCCUAUUGACAAUUAUAUCAUCAAAGUUUGCUAAAUGUAAUCAACUGCCAUCCAACUUUUAUUGUAAUCGGUUUAGCCACUAAAGUUUAUAUUUUCACAAGGCCUAGUCAUCUAAACUGGGCUUGCAACCCACUCUCAUGAAGAAGCUUUAUUUCUUCUGGCAUUUCAUCAAACAGGUACCGCUAAGCCUCAAAAUUUCCACAUUUUGAGUAUAUAUUUAAAAAUGGGUUGGAGGUGAGCAUGUAACUAAAGUUAAUUUAGUGGAUGUAUCAACUCUCAACUUUUGGUAGAUAGGCUUGUGUGUAAAUGUAAGUAUUGGAAUUUAAAGAAAGGGAGAUUGUUUUAAUUAGAAUCGAUCGAUUAAUGAUCACAUAUGUUAACUGCUUCAUGUAUCACCUACUUGGCUACUUGCCUUAGUCAGAGAAUAAUCAAAUUAUGAUAUUUGUUCUUCUUUAAAUGUACUCUCCCAGUUAUCUUCCAGUUAUUUCUUACAGUUUUUUUGUAUUGCGUGACACGUAGAUACUUAUAUAUAAUUUUAUAUAAACUUUUUUUGUUUCUAAAUGUAAUUUAAAUUUAAAUUUUUAUUUAGAAAAAAGAAUUUUAGAAUAUUUUAUGAAAUCAUACUAAUAAAAAGAAUAUUAACUCCCAAGAUUUUACCCUAAAGCUAACACUUUGACCCAUGACUUCUAAAGUAUGGAACAAGCUUCUUCUAAACUAGAUUUCAGAUAAUAACUUCAGCCAUUCAUUUGUUCUGAUUUAAUUAUCAUUUUGGUCCCUCCAUAAAUCAAAUAUUUUAUUAAUAUAAAUAGGGUCUUAAAUAUAUCAUUAUACUAAUGAAUUAUGACACUUCGUUAUUUUGGCUUAUCAUAAUUCAAAUCGACCAAUACUUUCAUGAUGCGAAAACCUGUAAUCCCAUAUUAAAACUCCAGCUAAACCCACUACACUAGUAUAUAUGGAUAUGUAAGAACUUAUUGUCAUCCUCCUAAAUACCACAAAAAAGUGUACCAAUCAUGGACUUAAAUGAUAGAGUUAGGUAUAAUAUAGCUUUGAUAUAUAAUAUUAUUAUUUUUACCGCAAGAGGGUGACAACGAUCAUCCUCACGAAAUCUUGAAAGUCACCAUCUGUGAAAAAAAUAUAAUAAUUAAUUAGUUAAGACAACAAUAAAAUUUUAUUUUCCAAGCCUAUGCGCAUAUUUAUUUCAAUUAAAUAAUUAGAUACAAAAGCUAUGCUAGUCGCUUAAGUUCAGUAGAUUUUGGAAAAAUCAGGGUGUGUGAACAGAUUUGAGACCAACAAAAGAAAGUGAGGGAGAGUGAUUUACCUUAAGAUCAGAGAGAGACAGAGCGAAAGAGCGGGGGAAGAGAGAGAACGCGCUAAAGCAAGAGGGAGAGAGAGAGAGAGAGAGCUAGAGCCGGGGGAGAGAGAUAGAGCGAGAGGGCGGGAGAGAGACAGCGCUAGAGAGAGAGAGAGCGAGAAGGAAGAGAAAGAUGAUUGAUAGUGACGGGGUGCAGGGAGGGAGCGGGAGAGAGACGGGAAGGGAGGGAGGAGGUUGAGUGGAUGAAGACUUACAGACUUACCCA